UGGAGAGUUGCCUACCAAGUCAGAUGGUGUGGUUGAGCUUGCAAGGCGUGUUGUUUCUGUUGAUUACCCAGAGGGAAAACUUACUGUUUCUGUGGAGGCCUCGCGGGGUCGAUUUUCUGCACGAGGUACAGUCGACUUUGGGAUGAAAGUGCCAAGGGGAAGUAGUACUCGCACGUGUGAUCUGGUUUUCUGCAAAAUGCUAGUUACAGUUGCUUGGUCCCUUGUUUCUUGCUAUCGGGUUUAAAAUCCAAGCUUAUCUGUUUGGCCAUCCUUACCCGUGGUUUGCCCAGCUAAGCCGUUUGAACUAUUUAUGUAUCUAUAUUGUCAUGCCUUGGUACCUCCCUACCUGUUGUACUUGAUUCAUCGCGUUUGCUCCGAUGUGGUAUUACUUAGGCUGCUCAGGUAAUGAGCAUAUUAGUUGUUGCUACUAAACUUUCUCACUCCGCUGUAAUGUUAUAUAUUGUCUCUGGAAGUUUAAGCUUAUUGGUAAUGUUGCUGCUACAUUGUU
rnacentral:lncRNA from 1 species